AUUGAACGCUGGCGGCAUGCUUUACACAUGCCAGUCGAACGGCAGCGCGGGCUUCGGCCUGGCGGCGAGUGGCGAACGGGUGAGUAAUGCAUCGGAACGUGCCCAGUAGUGGGGGAUAGCCCGGCGAAAGCCGGAUUAAUACCGCAUACGACCUGAGGGUGAAAGCGGGGGACCGAAAGGCCUCGCGCUAUUGGAGCGGCCGAUGUCGGAUUAGCUAGUUGGUGGGGUAAAGGCUUACCAAGGCGACGAUCCGUAGCUGGUCUGAGAGGACGACCAGCCACACUGGGACUGAGACACGGCCCAGACUCCUACGGGAGGCAGCAGUGGGGAAUUUUGGACAAUGGGGGCAACCCUGAUCCAGCCAUGCCGCGUGCGGGAAGAAGGCCUUCGGGUUGUAAACCGCUUUUGUUCGGGAAGAAAUCCUCUGGGCUAAUACCCUGGGGGGAUGACGGUACCGGAAGAAUAAGCACCGGCUAACUACGUG
rnacentral:rRNA from 1 species